AGUGAACGCUGGCGGCGUGCUUAACACAUGCAGGUCGAACGAGAACGGAAUAUAGCUUGCUAUAUUUGUCAGCUAAGUGGCGCACGGGUGAGUAAUGUAUAGAUAACCUGCCCUUAAGAAAGGAAUAACAGUUGGAAACGACUGCUAAUGCCCUAUAUGCCUUUAAUACAUAAGUAUGCAAGGGAAACGCUUUAGUGCUUAAGGAUGGGUCUGUAUGGUAUCAGCUUGUUGGUGAGGUAAUGGCUCACCAAGGGUAUGACGCCUAACUGGUUUGAGAGGAUGGUAAUUCACACUGUAGCUGAAACACGGUGCGGACUCAGACGGGAGGCAGCAGUGGGGAAUAUUGCACAAUGGAAGAAAGUCUGAUGCAGCAACGCCGCAUGGAGGAUGACACAUUGCGGUGCGUAAACUCCUUUUAUAUAGGAAGAUAAUGACGGUACUAUAGGAAUAAGCACCGGCUAACUCCGUGCCAGCAGCCGCCGUAACAC
rnacentral:rRNA from 1 species